AAUAGACCAAUUAGUUUGUCAUGUACUCAUGUAACACAAGACAUAACUAUACGUUGUGGUGCUACACCAGGAUGCACAUAGACUAAGACUAAGACAUGACAUCAAUAUAAGUUCAUAUGACACCUUUUUUAUGAUACAAAUUAGGAGAUAUUGCAGGUUACCACUUUUGAACAACCAAAAAAUACCACCACAAAAUAGAACAGGGAAUUGAACUGAAGAGGCCACUCAAAGCAAACUUCACUUCCUGCUUCAUGUAUGAAAGCAAAGUGGAUCAAGAAGAGAGAGAACUGGCAGUAAAUCAUGCACUCACCGUACCGUUCAAGUCCGGUCUUCUAGAACGAAGCUUCGUAUCGCAUCCCAAGCCGUCCAAAUACACCAUACCGAUUAACAAAAUCCAUCAGCAAACUCUAGCUUCAUCUGGUUUUCGCACAGGUCAAUUCCGCCGCCAAUUAUCGCCUUAUCGGCGUCCUGGUAAUGUAUCAAUUUGUAGUUGAUGAUAGCUGCAAAAUCAAAGAAAAUGAUGCAACAAGCAAGCAUUCUAUUGAAGAAUCAAUGGGGGAAGAGAGAGAAAGAUGAUCAUGUUGGUUCCUCCUCAAACGACGCCAUGGAUUCAGGCGAAUCAUCGCAUGCGCAAGCAACAACAUAGAAACCAAAUCACAAAAAAUGCUUAAUUUAGAUUUAAAAAAAAAGGGUUGUUUUGUGGGGAUGAAGCUAACCUAAUCUUAAUUAAUUAGCUACGGAGUAUUCUAUAUCCAUAUCUACGAACCUGAUUAGCAUGGUCCUGUACUGUAUUACUAUUAAAUCUAAUCUGUCUCCUCUCCCUCAAAA